rnacentral:rRNA from 1 species
AACGAGAACGGAACUAGCUUGCUAGUUUGUCAGCUAAGUGGCGCACGGGUGAGUAAUAUAUAGUUAAUCUGCCCCAAAGAAGAGGAUAAUUGUUGGAAACGACUUGUAAGACUCUAUAUGCCUUUAUAACAUAAGUUAGCAAGGGAAACAUUUAUGGCUUUGGGAUGAGACUGUACGGUAUCAGUUAGUUGGUGGGGUAAUGGCCUACCAAGACAAUGACACCUAACUGGUUUGAGAGGAUGAUCAGUCACACUGGARCUGAGACACGKUCCAGACUCCUACGGGAGGCAGCRGUGGGGAAUAUUGCAYAAUGGGCGAAAGCCUGAUGCAGCAACGCCGCGUGGAGGAUGACACAUUUCGGUGCGUAAACUCCUUUUAUAUGAGAAGAUAAUGACGGUAUCAUAUGAAUAAGCACCGGCUAACUCCGUGCCAGCAGCCGCGGUAAUACGGGGGGUGCAAGCGUUACUCGGAAUCACUGGGCGUAAAGAGAAUGUAGGCGGGUAGAAAAGUCAGAAGUGAAAUCCUAUAGCUCAACUAUAGAACUGCUUCUGAAACUCUUUACCUAGAAUAUGGGAGAGGUAGAUGGAACUUCUGGUGUAGGGGUAAAAUCCGU